GGGUUGUGAGGUUAAGCGACUAAGCGUACACGGUGGAUGCCCUGGCAGUCAGAGGCGAUGAAGGACGUGCUAAUCUGCGAUAAGCGUCGGUAAGGUGAUAUGAACCGUUAUAACCGGCGAUUUCCGAAUGGGGAAACCCAGUGUGUUUCGACACACUAUCAUUAACUGAAUCCAUAGGUUAAUGAGGCGAACCGGGGGAACUGAAACAUCUAAGUACCCCGAGGAAAAGAAAUCAACCGAGAUUCCCCCAGUAGCGGCGAGCGAACGGGGAGCAGCCCAGAGCCUGAAUCAGUGUGUGUGUUAGUGGAAGCGUCUGGAAAGGCGCGCGAUACAGGGUGACAGCCCCGUACACAAAAAUGCACAUGCUGUGAGCUCGAUGAGUAGGGCGGGACACGUGGUAUCCUGUCUGAAUAUGGGGGGACCAUCCUCCAAGGCUAAAUACUCCUGACUGACCGAUAGUGAACCAGUACCGUGAGGGAAAGGCGAAAAGAACCCCGGCGAGGGGAGUGAAAAAGAACCUGAAACCGUGUACGUACAAGCAGUGGGAGCACGCUUAGGCGUGUGACUGCGUACCUUUUGUAUAAUGGGUCAGCGACUUAUAUUCUGUAGCAAGGUUAACCGAAUAGGGGAGCCGAAGGGAAACCGAGUCUUAACUGGGCGUUAAGUUGCAGGGUAUAGACCCGAAACCCGGUGAUCUAGCCAUGGGCAGGUUGAAGGUUGGGUAACACUAACUGGAGGACCGAACCGACUAAUGUUGAAAAAUUAGCGGAUGACUUGUGGCUGGGGGUGAAAGGCCAAUCAAACCGGGAGAUAGCUGGUUCUCCCCGAAAGCUAUUUAGGUAGCGCCUCGUGAAUUCAUCUCCGGGGGUAGAGCACUGUUUCGGCAAGGGGGUCAUCCCGACUUACCAACCCGAUGCAAACUGCGAAUACCGGAGAAUGUUAUCACGGGAGACACACGGCGGGUGCUAACGUCCGUCGUGAAGAGGGAAACAACCCAGACCGCCAGCUAAGGUCCCAAAGUCAUGGUUAAGUGGGAAACGAUGUGGGAAGGCCCAGACAGCCAGGAUGUUGGCUUAGAAGCAGCCAUCAUUUAAAGAAAGCGUAAUAGCUCACUGGUCGAGUCGGCCUGCGCGGAAGAUGUAACGGGGCUAAACCAUGCACCGAAGCUGCGGCAGCGACACUAUGUGUUGUUGGGUAGGGGAGCGUUCUGUAAGCCUGUGAAGGUGUACUGUGAGGUAUGCUGGAGGUAUCAGAAGUGCGAAUGCUGACAUAAGUAACGAUAAAGCGGGUGAAAAGCCCGCUCGCCGGAAGACCAAGGGUUCCUGUCCAACGUUAAUCGGGGCAGGGUGAGUCGACCCCUAAGGCGAGGCCGAAAGGCGUAGUCGAUGGGAAACAGGUUAAUAUUCCUGUACUUGGUGUUACUGCGAAGGGGGGACGGAGAAGGCUAUGUUGGCCGGGCGACGGUUGUCCCGGUUUAAGCGUGUAGGCUGGUUUUCCAGGCAAAUCCGGAAAAUCAAGGCUGAGGCGUGAUGACGAGGCACUACGGUGCUGAAGCAACAAAUGCCCUGCUUCCAGGAAAAGCCUCUAAGCAUCAGGUAACAUCAAAUCGUACCCCAAACCGACACAGGUGGUCAGGUAGAGAAUACCAAGGCGCUUGAGAGAACUCGGGUGAAGGAACUAGGCAAAAUGGUGCCGUAACUUCGGGAGAAGGCACGCUGAUAUGUAGGUGAAGUCCCUCGCGGAUGGAGCUGAAAUCAGUCGAAGAUACCAGCUGGCUGCAACUGUUUAUUAAAAACACAGCACUGUGCAAACACGAAAGUGGACGUAUACGGUGUGACGCCUGCCCGGUGCCGGAAGGUUAAUUGAUGGGGUUAGCGCAAGCGAAGCUCUUGAUCGAAGCCCCGGUAAACGGCGGCCGUAACUAUAACGGUCCUAAGGUAGCGAAAUUCCUUGUCGGGUAAGUUCCGACCUGCACGAAUGGCGUAAUGAUGGCCAGGCUGUCUCCACCCGAGACUCAGUGAAAUUGAACUCGCUGUGAAGAUGCAGUGUACCCGCGGCAAGACGGAAAGACCCCGUGAACCUUUACUAUAGCUUGACACUGAACAUUGAGCCUUGAUGUGUAGGAUAGGUGGGAGGCUUUGAAGUGUGGACGCCAGUCUGCAUGGAGCCGACCUUGAAAUACCACCCUUUAAUGUUUGAUGUUCUAACGUUGACCCGUGAUCCGGGUUGCGGACAGUGUCUGGUGGGUAGUUUGACUGGGGCGGUCUCCUCCUAAAGAGUAACGGAGGAGCACGAAGGUUGGCUAAUCCUGGUCGGACAUCAGGAGGUUAGUGCAAUGGCAUAAGCCAGCUUGACUGCGAGCGUGACGGCGCGAGCAGGUGCGAAAGCAGGUCAUAGUGAUCCGGUGGUUCUGAAUGGAAGGGCCAUCGCUCAACGGAUAAAAGGUACUCCGGGGAUAACAGGCUGAUACCGCCCAAGAGUUCAUAUCGACGGCGGUGUUUGGCACCUCGAUGUCGGCUCAUCACAUCCUGGGGCUGAAGUAGGUCCCAAGGGUAUGGCUGUUCGCCAUUUAAAGUGGUACGCGAGCUGGGUUUAGAACGUCGUGAGACAGUUCGGUCCCUAUCUGCCGUGGGCGCUGGAGAACUGAGGGGGGCUGCUCCUAGUACGAGAGGACCGGAGUGGACGCAUCACUGGUGUUCGGGUUGUCAUGCCAAUGGCACUGCCCGGUAGCUAAAUGCGGAAGAGAUAAGUGCUGAAAGCAUCUAAGCACGAAACUUGCCCCGAGAUGAGUUCUCCCUGACCCUUUAAGGGUCCUGAAGGAACGUUGAAGACGACGACGUUGAUAGGCCGGGUGUGUAAGCGCAGCGAUGCGUUGAGCUAACCGGUACUAAUGAACCGUGAGGCUUAACCUUACAACGCCGAAG
rnacentral:rRNA from 1 species